CGGAAUUUUGUUUUCGUCCUCGCCCCUCCUUUCUCUGACCGGUCGGAAAGCCACCGCACAAACGCGAAGGAAGAAGAGGAACUCGCCGGCUAGGGUUUGCGCCGCCUCCGUCGCCGCGAUGCCGCAGUCGGUGCUGGUGGAGCGCUCCACGAGUGAGUCUCUCAUCGGGCCCGACUGGUCGCUCAACCUCGAGAUUUGCGACAUCCUCAACCACGACCCCUCGCAAGCCAAAGAUGUAGUGAAGACCAUCAAGAAGCGGAUUGGGCACAAGAACUCAAAGGUCCAGCUUCUCGCAUUAACGUUGCUAGAGACCCUGAUUAAAAAUUGUGGGGAUUUUGUUCAUAUGCAUGUUGCUGAGAGGGAUAUACUUCAUGAAAUGGUGAAGAUAGUUAAGAAAAAGCCUGAUUAUCACGUAAAAGAGAAGAUACUGAUUCUUGUAGACACUUGGCAAGAAGCUUUUGGCGGUGCCCGUGCAAGAUAUCCACAGUAUUAUGCAGCAUAUCAAGAGCUGCUGCGUGCUGGAGCUGUAUUUGCUCAAAGGCCAGAGAGUUCUGUGCCAAUCUAUACUCCUCCACAGACACAACCUCUACGGAACUACCCACCUCCUGCUUUGCGUAAUACUGAUUAUCGACAAGAUGCACCCGCAUCAUCUUCAUCACCAGAAGUGCCUACUUUGAGCUUGACAGAAAUUCAGAAUGCAUGUGGGGUCAUGGAUGUCCUUUCAGAGAUGUUGAAUGCUAUUGAUCCUGGUAACAGAGAGAGUCUAAGGCAGGAGGUCAUCGUGGACCUUGUGGACCAAUGCCGUUCUUAUAAGCAAAGAGUGGUGCAGCUUGCCAACUCAACAUCGGACGAGGAGCUGCUAAGCCAAGGCCUUUCAUUGAAUGAUGAUUUGCAGCGUGUUCUAGCAAAACAUGAUGCAAUUGCUGCUGGGAUAGCAGUUAGGGUAGAAAAACCAAAAUCAGUCCAGGCUCAUGAGGACAAUUCUCCUCCAACAAAGCUCGAGGGGAAAAAAGAGGCAGAUCAAAGGCCUUCUGAAGAUGCCAGUAACAUGACUCCAUUUGAGCAGUUAGCACUUCCUGCGCCUCCAUCAUCCAGCAGUUCAAAAUCUAGUGGAGGACCAGCUGUUAACCCUAAUAUUGACCUACUUAGUGGAGAUGAUUUCUUCAAACCAGAACCUGUUAAUUCCCAAGCCCUUGUUCCUGUAGGCAAUCCGCCUGCAGCUUCAGCUUCUUCAUGCCAUAAUACUUUAGACCUUAUGGACAUGUUUGCAGAGAGCACUGUUAGCAGUAAUAACAGCCAGAACCCUGCCAUCUCUUCUGUGUUGAACACAAAUCCUAACCCCUCCGCACCACAAGCCUAUCCUUCUCCACAGCAUCCUGUUCCACCACAACAGCCUUCUUCAUGUUCUAAUGGGUUAAAUUCGAGUGCAAUGACACAAUAUGAUCAACGCUCUGGCUUAAACUCGGCAUGUUCAUGGAAUGGUCAGUUUGCUCAUGGAAUGGUUCCACCACAGCAGACACCAAACUAUGGAUUCUGAAGCUAUGAGCCCUUCACAAGAACACGCCCCUCGCUGCUUCCUGAACCAGAUCGACUUUCAACUUGCUGCUCCACUUGCUCAGCUGGUUCACUGGAGUUAGGCAAUGUGAGCUUCUGCCUCAUGUAAAGGAAGGCCAGAGCAGCAGGAACAAUAAUGGCAGCAAGAGCAGCACCAAUUGCAGCAGGAUUUGAGAUUUUGUCCAAGUAACCUGGCCACAUAUUCGAUCCCAAUUUCAGACCAUGAUGCGCUUCUUGAUCCUACUUGCCAUAAGAACGAUAACCCUCGGACUCAUCAGUCUGAACAUUUUGCUGCAAGGAAGAGUCGUCCAUGUCCUCUAAAUGUUCUGGCUCUGGUGCAGAUUGAGAAGGGGUGUCCAAAUUCUGACUAAGUGAUGCCAUCUCUUCUCCACUGCUGCCUGAUAUGGCUUCCUCAUCCAUUUUAGCAUCAUCAAUGGGUUCUUCUCCGACUGCAGUAUCACCAAAGUUGCCAUUUCUUCUACAUCAGACUCUGCAAUCACAUUAGUAUCACUAUCUGAAACAACCACCUAAAUCUCAAACCCUUGCUCCAAGACACUGGCACUGAUGGGUUCUUGUUCGCUUGGCAUUGGCCUUGUCUGAGCAGUACUGUAGUAGAAACCAACAACAUGGUCUGCAUCUACAGCCCAGGUGUCGGUACGCGAGUUCGUGGUGUAGUCGUCGUAGGCUCCUUUGGCUCCGGUGGUGCCAGCACCCGAUCCAGUGGAGAAAUCAAUGUGAGCUGCGGCGAUAGGACACAAGUGACGGUCGGAGCAGCUGGCUCAGCUCUGGCCUUAGACGUGGCAUCCAGAGCCAACGACUCCUCUGGGACGUCAUUUGGCACUGACGUGGGCAGUUGUUCCUGCUCUUCCUUGAUUAGCUCAUCCUCCUCUGUGGUGGUGACGGUGCCGGAUUCCUCGCUGCUCUCGGAGGCGAAGCCAUCCUCACGCCGCCUCACGCUGGUGUGUCGGUACUGCUCGACGCGAGGGUUGAGCCUGUAGCGUAGGAACCGAUGCCUCGGCAAGAGAUAGUUCGUCUUGGGGUCGUAUGGAGUUGUCAUGUCCGUCGAGGCACCGGCCCUGUGGUGGUGGUGGUGGAUAUCACACACGAGAUUCUCCACCCUCUCCUCCGCCUCGCCACUCAAAGAGUGCCAGGCGCCAUGCGAGAUCGAGGGAGUAGGAGCCCGUCGAGCGAGAGCCGCACACGUUGUGGCGCGCUCAGAGUCUCCUCGGGCGACAGCAGCGGUGCACCCCUUGGCUUGCUGGGCGCGAACUCGCCUGGGGACGAGGGGACGGGAUGGUGGUGGUGCUGCUGCUACGACAGGUCGUCGUUGUGCUCCCCAAGGACUUUCUUCCUCGGCGAGGCGAACACUGCGACGGCCAUGGAGGUAGCCGAGAUGGUUGGCGCCAUAAAACUCUUCACAAUGCCGCCGUCUCCACCAAUGGAUCAGGCCUUGGGCUGGGGGAUAGGGACCUUGCCACCGCCGUUGACAUCGCGAGAAGCCCUUCUCACGACACAGAAUCGUUCGGCGGAGCGGCACGACAGCAUUUGAUUUGUGAACAAAAUGUGAUUCUAGAAUUAGGGGCGAAGAUUUGGGGGAAGUGGAGGGAGUGGAUUUGUUUCCCGAUGGAGGCAGCGGAGCUAGCGUCGUGUGUGUGAGGGGUAGGGUUUGUAUACGGGGAUGGAGCAUGGGCUAGGUGCCGAGCGCAAGGGCCUAUGUGUCGGCUCGGGCGGGAUGGGGAGGGAGCGGAACAAGAGAGACAAAACAACGCUAACGAUACAUGGAUUAGAGAUUUUUUAAGUAGGAGAGAUAACACCCCCCUCAAACUCAUGGGGAUCAACCAUACUGAGUAUGGAAAGAUAGAACCUGUGGAGCUGUACUUUGUGCUUUUGUGAAGAAAUCAACCAACUAAAGCUUAGAAGGAACAUACUGAAAAGCAAUAACCUCAUCAUGUACAUGUGUCCGUGUGUAAGAAGCAUCAACACUAUAUGUUUGGUGAGCUCAUACUUCACCGGAUCUGGAGCAAUACUGAUAGCACAUGUAUUGUUGGAGUAAAGAGGAGUAGGUGCAGGAGACUAAACGCCAAAAUCCUGAAGUGACCACCGUAAUCAACUGAGCUGCACUGUCUAUCUCAUGCCUCGCAACUCAGCCUCUGUGCUGUAACGAGAAACAAUUAUAUGCUUUUUAGUCUUUCAAGCAAUAAAAGAACCACUAAGGAAAACACAGUAGGUAGAAAGAGGCCGACGAUCAGAAUGAUCAAUAGCCCAAGUAGCAUCAGAAUAAGCACGAAGCUGCAAAGAGCUGGAACGUGAAAAGAGACAACGAGGGAUGGUCCCACGAAUAUAGCGCAAAACAUGCAGAAGAUGAUUAUAGUGAAGCUGAGUGGGAGUAGAAACGCACUACUGAGAAAUGUCAGGACAAGUGAUAUCAAGGUAAACAAGACUUCCAACAAGAUGAAAGUAGCUGGUGGGAUCUGUAAGAAGUUCACUAUCAAUGGAUCGAAGAUGAAGGUUAACCUCUAUGGAAGUCUUAAUAGUGUGCUCAUCAAUGAGAGAAGCAUGAUCAAGAAGAUCCUAAAUAUACUUCUCUUUGGACAGAAAGAAACCCUAGAAUAUAGAAGGAAUCUCAAUUCCAAGAAAAUAACGAAGAGGACCCAGAUUGAAUGUAAGAAACUGCUCAUUGAGACGAGUCUUGACAAAGACAAUAUACUCAGAAUCAUCUCCUGUAAUGAUUAUGUUAUCAACAUACAAAAGAAGAAUCCGACCACGAGACGGAGUGUGAACAAAGAGCGGAGGAUCAUGAGCACUAGCAGAAAAACCAGUAGUAAUGAUCACAGAAGAAAAAAGCUCAAACUAAACUCGAGAGGCUUAUUUAAGGCCAUAGAGAGUGCCGGAGAUGACGAACCAUACCCUCAAGUAUAGAAUGCCCUGAUUGGGUGCAUGUAGACCUCACGUAGCUCACCGUUAAGAAAAAAAAUUAUUGUUAUCAAGUUGGGAGAUAGACCACUGACGCACAGAGGCAAUAGAAAGAAGAGUGUGAACUCUAGUCGUGUGGGCCACGGGUGCAAAAGUCUCAUCAUAGUCACAACCAUGCUCCAACUGGAAACCACGGGCAACAAGAUGAGUUUUGUAGCGCUAAAGAAACUAUCAGAGCGGGUCUUAACCUUAUAGACCCACUUGCACAUGAUAGGACGAACAUGUGGGAGAAGAGGGACUAGAUCCCGUGUGCUUGUGUGCUCAAAUGCAGCAAGCUCCUUUGCCAUUGCAUGCUGCUAGUCCUGAUGAACAACAACAUCAUGAUAAGAAGACAGCCCGGUAGGAAUAGUACCAGUAAAGCCAAAACGAUGAGGAGGUCGAAUCGAAUUGCGAUCACGAAGGGAAUAACGAGGACAAGAUGGAGUAACUGAAUCGUCGGAAGGAGACAUAUCAUUAGAAAGUGGCGUAGCAGGACGUGAGACAGUAUGAGAAUGACGAGUGCAGUGAAAAGGAAAAUGCUCAAUAAUGCCAGAAGGAGGAGGAUCUUAUGAGUUGGGGGCCAAAGACGUGGGAGGCACUGUAGAAGGUACAACAGGAGAGGACGUCAACAGUGCCCGAGGAAAAGAAGAAGAAAUGGUGAUGGGUGUGGUAGGAAAAGUGUGAAAAGACAAUGGCUCGGCUAAGGAAGCUGAAGAAGUGGAAGGAGAGGUAUGAGGAUAGAAGAGACGAGACUCAUCAAAAGUAACUUCCCAAGAAAUAUGCAUUCGGCGAGCAGUAAGGUCCUAACACCGAUAACCCUUAUGCUCAGCACUGUAACCAUGAAAAACACAUUGAACAAAUUGAGUGGUUAGUUUGGUUCAUUCACGAGGGGUGAGAAGAACUUAUAAACAUAGCCAAAAAGGCGAAGACAAGAGUAGUCAGGAAGGCGUCCAUAUAGACGCUCAAAAGGAAUCUUACCUUUGAGAGUAGAAGAGGGUUGGAUGUUGAUUAAGUAGGUAGCAGUGGAGACCGCCUCAACCAAAAAAUGAGGUGGGACAGAAGAGGCAAUCAUAAGUGUGCGAGUUGUCUCAAGGAGAUGACGGUCCUUGCCAACGUCAUUCUGAGCAUAAGCACCAGGACAGGAGAACCGAGAUAACAUACCCUAUUCAGCAAGAAAAGUGCAAAGGUGCCCAGAAAGAAAUUCGCCAGUAGAAUCAGCUCAGAAAACACGAAUGAGAGUGUCAAACUAAGUGUGAAUCAUAGUAGCAAAGUGCAUAUAUAUAGAAAACACUAGAAACCACUUAUGUUAGAUAAUUUCGAAAUGAUAUCUACUGUCUAUUUAUUUUCAAAAAGAACACUCGAGUAUACUAAAGAUUCACAUUAAACACGGUCAAGAUGAUCAAAGCAACGACCUCCCGCCACCACCCUGGGAAUCUCAGCCUGCAGAAAGUGAUCAAUUCCAAGCUGGCUAUCCUGGUGCGCUGUCAGUGCCGUCAGGACAACUAGGAGUUAGUCAACCCCAACCAGUUC